rnacentral:lncRNA from 1 species
CCGGGUCGCGCAGCCGAGGCCGAGGGCUGGGGCGGGCGGCUGGGAAGUGGGAAAGGGAGCCAGAGGCGCUCCUUUUGUCUUCUCUUCCCAUCCCCCAGGUUUGGGAAAGUUUUACUUUUGGGAAAGCCCCUCUCUUCAUCCUGCUGGCGGGUGUCGGAUUGGUUAGCGGCCACCGGCCCCCGCCGCCCCCAACAGGAUUCUCCUUUGGGCCACAGGUCUUCCGGAAGUUGCCAAACCCCGGUAGUGGCAGCGUCCGGCUGGGGGCUUUAUUAGGGGGCACCGGGGUCUGCUUUCCGACUCCCUUCCGACUCUGCGCCUGCGCAGGAAGCUUUUUGGGGAGUGUUGUGAAUUCCGAGGGCUCCACACUUAAAAGGUUGUACACUCACCUGUCUACCUGGACUCCAAUUUCCAUAUUUCCAGCCACUUGAGGACUGAGAGGUGGAUGAUAAACCCUGUCAUAGUGGAGCAAGUUCAGGUGUUUAACCGCUGUUACGGGGGAUCUGCCUUUUCUCCCUCUCCUUUCUUACUUCCAUGAGUAUGUAUGUGCAGAGAUUGAAAAAUGACCUUGAGAGAGUCCAUCCAUCUAACUCCAGUUCAUUGGAAAUUUCUGCUUCUUUGAGACUGAGGUUAUAUUCCACUUCUUCUGACUACACCACCACCAUCAAGCUCCUUCUCUGAACUCUUGGAUCAUUACUUCAACCUGAAACAACUCAUCAGGCAGAAUAGUUGCCUACUGCCCCAACCCCACCAAAUGUUCCAGCACCUCUGAUAUUACCUCACAUGGCAAGAGGGCUUUGAAGAUGUGAUUGAGUCAAGGAUCUUGAAUGGGGAGAUUAUCCUGAAUUACUCAGGUGGACCCAGUGUAAUCACAAAGGUUUUUCAAAGAUGGAAGAGGGCAGAAGAGCCAGAAAAGGAUAUGUGACAAUGGAGUCAGUGUCAGAGUUGGAGUGACGUGAUGUGAGAAGGAUUCAACCUGCUGUUUCUGGCUUUGAGGAUGAAAGAAGGGGCCAUGAGCCAAGCAAUACAGGUGGCUUCUUUCAAGAAGUUGGAAAAGUGGUAAUAUUUUAUGUUAUUUUGGUUUGAUUUUUG